AGUGAACGCUGGCGGUAGGCCUAACACAUGCAAGUCGAACGGCAGCACAGUAAGAGCUUGCUCUUACGGGUGGCGAGUGGCGGACGGGUGAGGAAUACAUCGGAAUCUACUUUUUCGUGGGGGAUAACGUAGGGAAACUUACGCUAAUACCGCAUACGACCUACGGGUGAAAGCAGGGGAUCUUCGGACCUUGCGCGAUUGAAUGAGCCGAUGUCGGAUUAGCUAGUUGGCGGGGUAAAGGCCCACCAAGGCGACGAUCCGUAGCUGGUCUGAGAGGAUGAUCAGCCACACUGGAACUGAGACACGGUCCAGACUCCUACGGGAGGCAGCAGUGGGGAAUAUUGGGCAAUGGGCGCAAGCCUGAUCCAGCCACACCGCGUGGGUGAAGAAGGCCUUCGGGUUGUAAAGCCCUUUUGUUGGGAAAGAAAAGCAGCAGGUUAAUACCCCGCUGUUCUGACGGUACCCAAAGAAUAAGCACCGGCUAACUUCGUG
rnacentral:rRNA from 1 species